rnacentral:rRNA from 1 species
CCUACGGGAGGCAGCAGUGAGGAAUAUUGGUCAAUGGGCGCGAGCCUGACCCAGCCAAGUCGCGUGAAGGAUGACUGCCCUACGGGUUGUAAACUUCUUUUAUAAGGGAAUAAAGUGAGGCACGUGUGCCUUUUUGUAUUUACUUUAUGAAUAAGGCUCGGCUAACUCCGUGCCAGCAGCCGCGGUAAUACGGAGGAUCCGCGCGUUAUCCGGAUUUAUUGGGUUUAAAGGGAGCGUAGAUGGGUUGUUAAGUCAGUUGUGAAAGUUUGCGGCUCAACCGUAAAAUUGCAAUUGAUACUGGCAUCCUUGAGUACAGUUGAGGUAGGCGGAAUUCGUGGUGUAGCGGUGAAAUGCUUAGAUAUCACGAAGAACUCCGAUGGCGAAGGCAGCUUACUAAACUGCCACUGACAUUGAUGCUCGAAAGUGUGGGUAUCAAACAGGAUUAGAUACCCUAGUAGUC